GGCACCUCCUUUACCCGCCAGACCUGGUGAGAAUUCUUCAAUGUCUACACCUCCUUGGCGCUACGUGACACGUCAGAAUAUAAAUGUUAGUGGUGAGAAUUCUUCAAUGUCUAGACCUCCUUGGGGCGCUAGGACAGUCUCUAGCUUCUCAUUUUCUUUGCAACACCAGAUCCAAUACAAUAUCUAGCAGAACCCAAAUUAUCGAUACAUGAAUCUGAUCGCAAAGUGCGUGUAGGUGUUACUUGUGAAAUCCAGGGAUGGAAAAUAUGUGUGCUUACAUAUGAGUAGCUAGCCCAACUAUAAUAGAGAGAAAUAUGAUGAGUGAGAACUCUGUGGAUGUUAUUGAUGGAUAUACAAAUACAAUACUAGAUUCCUUAAGGUUAUUGCUCUUUUUGCUUUGUUGUAUUUUAUUUUUCUCUUUUUUUUAAAUAUAUUUUUUACAUUUUAUACUCUUUUUAUCUUCAUUAUAAGUCAUAAGUUAGAGGAAAAAUAAUA